AGCAGCCGCGGUAAUUCCAGCUCCAAUAGCGUAUAUUAAAGUUGUUGCAGUUAAAAAGCUCGUAGUUGAAUUUCGGGAUCAAUAUAUCGGUCGUGCCUUGGUACGUACUGGUAUCAUUGGUUUCUCCUUUCUGACGAACCAUGAUGUCAUUAAUUUGGUGUUAUGGGAAGUUAGGACUGUUACUUUGAAAAAAUUAGAGUGUUUAAAGCAGGCUUUAGCUUGAAUACAUUAGCAUGGAAUAAUGAAAUAGGACGUUCGAACCUAUUUUGUUGGUUUCUAGGAUCAACGUAAUGAUUAAUAGGGAUAGUUGGGGGCAUUAGUAUUCAAUUGUCAGAGGUGAAAUUCUUGGAUUUAUUGAAGACUAACUACUGCGAAAGCAUUUGCCAAGGAUGUUUUCAUUAAUCAAGAACGAAAGUUAGGGGAUCAAAGACGAUCAGAUACCGUCGUAGUCUUAACCAUAAACUAUGUCGACUAGGGAUCGGAUGAUGUUAAUUUUUAAUGACUCAUUCGGCGCCUUACG
rnacentral:rRNA from 1 species